rnacentral:rRNA from 1 species
GAUGAACGCUGGCGGCGUGCCUAAUACAUGCAAGUCGAGCGAACAGAUGAGGAGCUUGCUCCUCUGACGUUAGCGGCGGACGGGUGAGUAACACGUGGAUAACCUACCUAUAAGACUGGGAUAACUUCGGGAAACCGGAGCUAAUACCGGAUAAUAUAUUGAACCGCAUGGUUCAAUAGUGAAAGACGGUUUUGCUGUCACUUAUAGAUGGAUCCGCGCCGCAUUAGCUAGUUGGUAAGGUAACGGCUUACCAAGGCAACGAUGCGUAGCCGACCUGAGAGGGUGAUCGGCCACACUGGAACUGAGACACGGUCCAGACUCCUACGGGCGGCAGCAGUAGGGAAUCUUCCGCAGUGGGCGGAAGCCUGACGGAGCAACGCCGCGUGAGUGAUGCAGGUCUUCGGAUCGUAAAACUCUGUUAUUAGGGAAGAACAAAUGUGUAAGUAACUAUGCACGUCUUGACGGUACCUAAUCAGAAAGCCACGGCUAACUCCGUG